rnacentral:rRNA from 1 species
GACAGAGGGUGCAAAUGUUGUUCGGAUUUACUGGGCGUAAAGCGCGUGUAGGCGGCUUUGCAAGUCGGAUGUGAAAGCCCACGGCUCAACCGUGGAAGUGCAUCCGAAACUGCAUGGCUCGAGUCUCGGAGAGGAAGGUGGAAUGCUUGGUGUAGAGGUGAAAUUCGUAGAUAUCAAGCAGAACACCUGCGGCGAAGGCGGCCUUCUGGACGAUGACUGACGCUGAGACGCGAAAGCGUGGGGAGCAAACAGG